AUCAACACAAAAACAAAGUGCCGAACGGUGAUGUUUUUUUUGCAGCUCGAUUUUUGCAAUUAGUUACCAAAAUCCGACCAAAAUCAUUCUGGGAGACAUCCGGCCGUCAUGUCGAGGCUUUCCAACACCCCACUCCCGCCAUCGUUACAACCAGCAGCAGCAGCAGGGCGUUUUCGUGUUCAACAAGCAAAACCGGUGCCGCUUCAGCCAGAAAGGUGAGGUUGAGCUCGCUUAGCGGAUUUUGCGGAUUUUCACCUUGACACGGAGGCAUCGAGGCGCAUAUGGUUCUGGAGGAAGAGAAGCAGGUCUUGUGGAAGGACGUCGCGUCGCUUCGGACGCACAGAUAUUAACGGAGGAGUGUACCGAAAUAUGCCUCGAAAUCGAGAAAGGCAUUAGGUUAACUUGAUAGGGACGGGGUUACGACGAUUAUUGGAAUCCUAUAGUAGAAAUCCUAGGAUUAAAGUUGAGGAGUUUCUAGCUGCCUCUAUUCAGCAUCUUAAGGAUGAAUUUCGACGAGGGAAGGCUGGCUUGACUGUAAGUAUGUAUAGUUAAUUGUUAAUAGGACCCUCUCCAAAAACUACGUCGACUCUUGAGAGGGAUCUGAGAUGGCCACUGAGAGUAAUUAGGACAGCGUCAUAGCCAAAUUAUUUACGUCGGCGGGAAAUAAUUCAUUUUAUUCGGAAUAUUUUCGGAAACAUAUUUUUCUUGAGUAUUGCGCUUGAGGAACUUUCUUUAGAUUAGAUUGUUUUAGACACUAUUCGUCAUCGCCAUACAACAUUUUUACAAUUUACUUUUAUCAACUUUUCGCACAUAGAAGCACAAACGAAGAUACAGACGGAGCAGUAAUCGUUUUUUUCGGUCGCACCUACUUUCGCACGCCCCUCUUGUGUUGUGUAAUUUAGCGCUUUGGUGAGCUCCUCGAACGGGCGAAAUGUACGAACUGUCAAUGCAUUGUCACUGAGCUAACUGUCAAGCGACUUGCUUGUUUAUAAACAUUAACAAUUUGCUUUUUGCUCCAAAAAUUUGCGAUUUUGUAAUUCAUUUAACAAGCCGGUCAAGGUAGAAUCCCGAAACACCGGAAAAAUAGAACCUCCGGAGAGCCUCGGAACCUUCUACGAACGGGGUGACCGACGAUGGGAACAUUUUCAAUCCGGCAUUUGUGAAGUACGUGAUGGCGCACGGACCGAACCGGCUAGGAUCGCAUCUGAUCAUGUGCGACGCAGGGUUCUUCGUGAAUAACUCCCAGGAGAUCAUCUCGAAACAGCUGUGGUGCUGCUGACGGUGGCGGUAAUCCGAGCAGGAGGAAACGCUAUUAUGAAGGUGUUUGAUCUGGCGUACAUUCUGACCGACUGCGAUCAUGACAUUUUCCACCUGGUGGCCUGACGACGAUGAAGAGGACACAUUUUUUUCAAUUUCAACAGUAAUUUCAACGAUGACUUGGCUUGCCGACAGAUCCAGCCAGGGACUAAAGGGCUUCAACGACAACGAUUGAGGAAACUGCUUUCGUCGUGAAAAUACGAAUCGACGACAGCUCACCGACGGCACCAAAGUGCUCCGAAGCGACUUGGACUUCGAUAUGGCGGAAACAUCGCGGUUCUAGUCCCCGAGGGUAUGGGAUGUGGCCGUAGGUCGGACCGAAUGCAAUAAAACAACUUGAUUGCUAGACGGUCAAAUAA